UUUUAUUAUUAAUGAAAAACCAAAUACAAAUCCAGUACAAGGCCCAUAAUUACACAAUACACAAAAUAAAUUUUGUUUGAGUCCGGCCAAUUUCUAAAACCCUACCACAAUAAAAAGACUCCACUAUCCAAAAAUGAGUGUACUUUCCAUUUCCACCUUCCUCUUCCAUGCUGCCGCUUUGUUGUUGGUGGAACUCUUUAUUGAAGGAUCUACUGUCGUGGGUCAUUUGUGCUCCCAUUCCCUUAAUUAUACAGCUUCUUCUUCUAGCACAAUGUAUGUCUUUUUAACCAAGGUGGAUGGGGUUGUGGAGGUUGUGAAAGUAGUCUGAUGAGGAGGAAUCUAUCCGAAGGUGCUCCCAGAGGUAUUCCUUUUCCUUCUUUUCUAAUUUUCUCACAAAAAACCAUCCUGAAAGAAAUACCCAUUUGACAAGUUUGUUGCUGUAUCAACACUUGUGUUUGAUGUUGCCUUUUUGUAUUUAUUGCUCAGGCUGAUGUCUUUCCCCUUUAUUUGUAGUGAUGUAUUUUGUGCUAACUUAGAUUAGCAAUCUGAUUAGAGGAUGUAUAUCCUAGAUUUAGCAGCACUUGAUGUAAAUAUUGUAGUUUCUUAGAAUCUGCACCCUUAGGUGUUUUGUCUUUGUUGCCCAAACUCUGCAUAUAGCUUGAUGUAUUAAGAUCUUAUCCUUAAUGAUGG